rnacentral:rRNA from 1 species
UACAGGGGGGGCAAGCGUUGUUCGGAAUUACUGGGCGUAAAGGGCUCGUAGGCGGCCAACUAAGUCAGACGUGAAAUCCCUCGGCUUAACCGGGGAACUGCGUCUGAUACUGGAUGGCUUGAGAUUGGGAGAGGGAUGCGGAAUUCCAGGUGUAGCGGUGAAAUGCGUAGAUAUCUGGAGGAACACCGGUGGCGAAGGCGGCAUCCUGGACCAACACUGACACUGAGGAGCGAAAGCCAGGGGAGCAAACGGG